rnacentral:rRNA from 1 species
CCAGAGAAUUUAGCAGAGAUGCUUUAGUGCCUUCGGGAACUCUGAGACAGGUGCUGCAUGGCUGUCGUCAGCUCGUGUUGUGAAAUGGUUGGGUUAAGUCCCGCAACGAGCGCAACCCUAUCCUUUGUUGCCAGCGAUUCGGUCGGGAACUCAAAGGAGACUGCCGGUGAUAAACCGGAGGAAGGUGGGGAUGACGUCAAGUCAUCAUGGCCCUUACGAGUAGGGCUACACACGUGCUACAAUGGCGCAUACAAAGAGAAGCGACCUCGCGAGAGCAAGCGGACCUCAUAAAGUGCGUCGUAGUCCGGAUUGGAGUCUGCAACUCGACUCCAUGAAGUCGGAAUCGCUAGUAAUCGUAGAUCAGAAUGCUACGGUGAAUACGUUCCCGGGCCUUGUACACACCGCCCGUCACACCAUGGGAGUGGGUUGCAAAAGAAGUAGAUAGCUUAACCUUCGGGAGGGCGUUUACCACUUUGUGAUUCAUGACUGGGGUGAAGUCGUAACAAGGUAGGCGUAGCGAG